CAAUGGGCGAGAGCCUGAACCAGCCAAGUCGCGUGAAGGAAGACUGUCUUAUGGAUUGUAAACUUCUUUUAUAGGGGAAUAAAUGUUGGUACGCGUACCAAUUUGAAUGUACCCUAUGAAUAAGCAUCGGCUAACUCCGUGCCAGCAGCCGCGG
rnacentral:rRNA from 1 species